CCCUUAGAUGUUCUGGGCCGCACGCGCGCUACACUGACGAAUGCAACGAGCUUAUAACCUUGGCCGAAAGGUCUGGGUAAUCUCCAAAUUUCGUCGUGAUGGGGAUAGAUUAUUGCAAUUAUUAAUCUUCAACGAGGAAUGCCUAGUAAGCGCAAGUCAUCAGCUUGCGUUGAUUACGUCCCUGCCCUUUGUACACACCGCCCGUCGCUCCUACCGAUUAAAUGGUCCGGUGAAGCGUUCGGACCGUGGCCUUUGGACGGUUCGCCGUCUGUUGGCUGCGGGAAGUUCGUUAAACCUUAUCAUUUAGAGGAAGGAGAANUCGUAACA
rnacentral:rRNA from 1 species